rnacentral:tRNA from 1 species
UGUUUUGUUAUUAAUAGAUUAAGAAGGACAAAAGAAAAAUCAAACGCAAGAAAGUCCGUUAGUUAUUUCUCAAAAAUUUUUUAUUAAAUGACCAGAAUUAGCCGGGGAUACGUAGCUCGUAGACGUAGAACAAAACUGCGUUCAUUUGCAUCAGGUUGGUCCCGCUCAAAUCUUACUAGAAUUAUUACUCAACACCAAAUAAAAGCCCUUAAUUCGUCUUAUCGGGAUAGAGAUAGAAAAAAGAUAAAUUUUCGCCGUUUAUGGAUCACUCGCAUAAAUGCAGUAAUUAAAAAAAUUAAAGCAUUUUAUAGUUAUAGUAGAUUUAUAAAUGAUCUGUACAAGAACCAAAUUAUUAUUAAUCGUAAAAUACUCUCACAAGUAGCUAUAUUAAAUAAAAAUUGUCUUUAUAAAAUUACAAAAAUAUAGUUUAUAAUGAAAAUAAUUAAUGAAGUAUAUUUUUUGAACUUCACCGGAGACCAAGCUCCGGUAGGACACAGUCGUAAAAAUGACUUAAAACAUAAAAAAAAUUUAUUUUUAUAAAAUAAAAAGAGUAGCCUAUUUCUUUUUAUUUUUUCGGGUUUUAAAAUCUUUUUUUUUAGGUGUCAUCCGGGCUCUUUUCAUUUGAAAAAACGUUUCAUUAUUAUGAAAAGGUAACAAAGAUAAAAUACGAGCUUGUUUUAUAGCAAUAGUAAUUAAUCGUUGUCGUUUCAAGGUCACUUUACUCACUCUCCGAGAUAAUAUUUUACCUUGUUGACUAAUAAAUCUACUAAUUAAACUGAUGUUUCUAUAAUCAACUUUAUCCCCGGAUUGGAUUGGUGGUAAACGCCUAUGGGAAUAUCGGUUGGAUUUAUGCAAGAGUCUCUUGUAUUUUUCUUUAUCCAUGCUUUAUUUGGGUUAUUCUUUAACGUGAAAAUACUAUUUCAUUUAUAUUAUUUAGAUAAUAUGUUAUUAUAAGAAUAACAUUAUAAGAAUAACAUACAUAUAUUAAGAUUUUAUUUUAUCUUAUCUUUUUAUUAAUUUUAUGAUUUAAAAAAUAUUAUAAUUUAAUUAAAAAAUCCCUCGUUUACAAAGGUACCACGCAGGCGCUAGGUUCGAUCUAUUUUUUUAUUUCCCCAUGGAUUGUAUGUUUGUGACAAUAGGGACAGAAUUUUCUCAAUUCCAACCGCUGAGGCGCCUUGUGUUGAUUCUUUUGAGUAAUAUAUCUAGAAACACCUUUAUUAAUAAGAUUAAGAAGAUCUUUUUGGAUACAACUAUUACAUUCCAAGGUAACUGUUAUUCGGAUCUUUUUAUCCUUGGUCAUAAGCCUCCUUUGUAUUUUUACUAAACUUUUAUUUUUACUUCUUGUCUUAUUCUUCUCUUCGAAUUAAAAAGAAAAGUUACUACUUUAAUUAAAAAAAAUAGACGGAGGAAUUUUAGAGAAUGGCUUGGUAGACCAAUUAAAGGGAUGUGGCGCAGCUUGGUAGCGCAUUUGUUUUGGGUACAAAGUGUCGCGGGUUCAAAUCCUGUCAUCCCUACCUAUUAAUUAUCCAUUAAUUAUCCUUUGAGCAGUAAUGCGGGAUUAGGUUGCUUUUGGACAUAAGGAAGAUGUCAUUUUUAUGAUAUACUAUCUAGAUAAUGAUAAUCAUAGGCAUACAAUAUACAAUAUAAAUUUUAGUUUCAAAAAAUAUUAUUUUUCUUUACAGUAUUAUCUAUUCUCAUAAGAAAGCACUCUUAGUUCAGUUUGGUAGAACGCGGGUCUCCAAAACCCGAUGACGUAGGUUCAAAUCCUACAGAGCGCGAUUUUUAUCUUUAUAAGUUGAAUUAAAAAAAGCUUUAUUAACUUAACUCGAAAGGCAGUCUGCAUUUGACUUCCUGUGGCUUAAUAAAAGCGGUGGUCAAUCAAGAAAAGGGAUGCUCAUUAAUCAAAGUACUCAAAGAUCCAAUUAAUGAAAAUACGCAGUUAUUAAUAGUCAGCUAAAAUAAGAGAAAUUAGAUCUAAUAGGAUUAAAAAUAAAUAAUUUCAAUAAAAUAUUAUUAAUAUUUUAUUUACACACGUCUUUUUUUAGGAGGCCUACAGCCAUUAUGCGGUAUAGGGGUUACAUCUCGUACGCGGGUUAAUCGUAUACCGCUUCGGCCAAUAGUUCGCAAUGCUGCGUCUCUUCCACGGCCAGGACCUUUUAUCAUGACUUCUGCUCGUUGCAUAUCUACUGUAUUAAUAGUCUUUCCUACUGGAAGUUGGUGACCUGAUGACAGGUAAGCCAGCAAUUGAAGCCCCGGUGAACGGCGGCCGUAACUAUAACGGUCCUAAGGUAGCAAAAUUCUUUGUCGGGUAAGUUCCGACCCGCAUGAAAGGCAUAACGAUCUGGGCGCUGUCUCGGAGAGAGACUCGGUGAAAUAGACAUGUCUGUGAAGAUGCGGACUACCCGCACCUGGACAAGAAGACCCUAUGAAGCUUUACUGUUCCCUGGGAUUGACUUUAGGCUUUUCCUGCGCAGAUUAGGUGGAGGGCGAGGAGGGCCCCCUUCCGGGGGGGCUUGAGCCAUCAGUGAGAUACCACUCUGGAAGGGCUAGAAUUCUAACCUUGUGUCAGGCCUACGGGCCAAGGGACAGUCUCAGGUAGACAGUUUCUAUGGGGCGUAGACCUCCCAAAAGGUAACGGAGGUGUGCAAAGGUUUCCUCGGGUCAGACGGAGAUUGACCUUCGAGUGUAAAGGCAAAAGGGAGCUUGACUGCAAGACCCACCCGUCGAGCAGGGACGAAAGUCGGCCUUAGUGAUCCGACGGUGCCGAGUGGAAGGGCCGUCGCUCAACGGAUAAAAGUUACUCUAGGGAUAACAGGCUGAUCUUCCCCAAGAGAUCACAUCGACGGGAAGGUUUGGCACCUCGAUGUCGGCUCUUCGCCACCUGGAGCUGUAGGGGGUUCCAAGGGUUGGGCUGUUCGCCCAUUAAAGCGGUACGUGAGCUGGGUUCAGAACGUCGUGAGACAGUUCGGUCCCUAUCCGGUGUGGGCGUUAGAGCAUUGAGAGGACUUUUCUCUAGUACGAGAGGACUGGGAAGGACGCACCUCUGGUGUACCAGUUAUUGUGCCCACAGUAAACGCUGGGUAGCCAAGUGUGGAGCGGAUAACUGCUGAAAGCAUCUUAAGUAGUAAGCCCACCCCAAGAUGAGUGCUCUCCUAUUCCGACUUCCCCAGAGCUAUGGUAGCACAGCCAAAGCAGACAUGGGUUCUCUGUCCCUGCGGGGGUUAGAGUAACAUAAGUCUUGAGAAUCUAAGAUAAGGUCACGGCGAGACGAGCCGUUUAUCAUUAUGAUAGGUGUCAAGUGGAAAUGCAGUGAUGUAUGUAGCUGAGGCAUCCUAACAGACCGGUGGACUUGAACCU